CACAAACAAAAAUUGGACGAACGAGGCUGCUCUCCCUCUGCAAACCCUAGCCGCCGCACAAGGGAAGAGACGAGGGACAACAGGAUGCACGCUGCGCCGAUACGUGUCUGCCGCCGACCUCUCCGCACUGUGCACCCCAUUCCCCACCUCCUCCGGUCCUCGCCUACAGCCGCUCCUCCGUGACGGCACCAGCCCUCCAGGUGCCGCCGGCCCAAGCACGCCGCCUGCUCUCCAUGCGCCGCCCACGGACAUCGCUGGAGGAGGCGCUGAAGAAGGGCUCCGACUCCUCGGAAGAGGAAGAGGAAGGGGCCGCCGGCUACAAGCUCCAUAUCCAGGCCCUGGAGCGCGCCAUCUUGGCGCAGCCUCUCGACUAUGGUUCCCAUAUUGUUCAGAUUCGCUCAUGCGCCAAAGCCAGCUCAAGGAAGCCUUCCUGGACUCCUGGUCGACCAUGACACAAGCUUGAAGCAGCGGUGCUUGAAGCAGCGGAACACCGAAGGAGGAUCUCGUGGAUAACAGAGGUGUUGACGGCAACCUCAAAGGCGAGAGCUAUUGACACUGCAAAUUGUUUUCUUGUCUCUAUGUUUCUUACUUUAUGCAACCCCGUCGGUAUUAAGGCAGUAUAGUUUGUGGGGAGCAAUGAAAAACUGAAUUUGUUGAUUCUUAGAAUUUGGACUGGUCCGUUUGAUACGUCUGCACUCGUGAUGCGGAACAUUUUCCAACAUAGUGUGGGUUCAAAAGUGAGGAAAACAAUUGGCUUGCAGGGUUCAGGCUACUUUCUUGUGCUUGUUUUGCCUUGUAAUUACUUGAAACUGCAACCUGCAGGUUGAAUGGGCGCUUGAUAUUUUAGGGCGGAAGGCUGAAGCAAAGAAAGCUGCGGCUCUUUAGUAUAUCUUUAGAUUUGCGGCUCUUUGAGCUGUGGUGCAUUUGAUUUGAGACCCGAAUGAGGUCGGUUAAAUUAGGAUUAAAGUCUGCACAAUAACCAGGAACACUGAACAAGCAAGGCUAUUCAGAUGAAGUCUGCACUUAAUACUAUAGGUUUCCUUUUGGGCUCUUGGUACAACUUCGCUAGCAUCAUAAAUUAAUUGUGGGAUAUGAUGCAUAGUACUAGCUUCUUAUGUUUAUUUUGGAAAUCUUAGUUUAUAGAUUUCCUUUUCGUCUCUUGUACUAAUAUUCAGGGCAAUGGAAAUCUUGUAUAAUAAUCUGUACGUAGUUGGUACUAACAACAAAAUGAUGACAUGUUUGUUUUUGGGCAUUAAGUCAUGUGCUGAUCCUCUUGCAUUUGGAUUCCGGUCUUACCCUGACUAUGUGGAUAUGCUAUUCUAGGUUGGUUUUACGUUUCUUAUUGGAAGAGUGAGAUGCCCAGGACAGAAUCCAGUUUGUAUCAACGCCUCAUUGAAUAGAAUCAUGUAGAUUCUUCUUCAUACAAGCUUCAUAAAGAAAUAGUUUUAAGGGAGGACUUCAAAGAGUAUUUUGCCAAAUUUGGUAAAGUGCGGGUAAAUUGAUUUUUGGUUGUCCUUUUUCUUUACAAUUGGUUCAUAAUAGAAAAGGUUGUUGCUACAUUUGCAUCCAAUCCAACAUUGAAUUAAAAAGUGUGCAUGUUAUUUGGUGAUUGGCCUAAUGUUAAAAAACCAUAUUUAUGCAUUUAAGAAAAGGAUAUGCGCAUGGUACUGAACAAUGAGAAAAACACUGUCGGCCAUAUCUCAAAUCAAGUUAUUUGGUGUAUUUCAGGGCGGGCGUGUAAUUAGAGAACAAAACACUACAACGUCAAAUGAGAUUAUCGAACUGAACUGAUUGUACUGAAAAGUAGGACCUAAACUUGUGCUACUAGCCAACCUUUUCUUCAGGGAAUGCCAAGAUAUUUGCCAAACAAGGCCAUAGGAUGGUACUCCCUCCGUUCCGAUUUACUUGUCGUGGUUUUAGUUCAAUUUGAACUAAAACCAUGACAAGUAAAUCGGAACGGAGGGAGUAUGUUCAAACAUACACCUUUUACUCAUCAUGACAUGAUAUUUUAUUCUGUUGUGCCCUUACUCCUUUUCUAUCUCCCGACAGUACUUUCAGGUGCUAUACACUGACAACCUAUCAGGUGAGAAUCGAUUUGUGGAUCUUUCCCUUUUUUGAACUGGUCGUUAUGUGGUUCUUGGGGACUUGCACUCUGUUUUAUUUCUUUUUUACCUCCUAUUUAUGGGCUCCCUUCUGUUAGGGAGUCAACCGAUGACUAGAUGGGUAUCUUGUUGCUCAUCUCCAGCAAGUCGGGCUCUAGUGUAUUUCGGUCAGCAUCCACGGAGGAGCAGGUAACUGACGGCAUUUACGCUGUCGGGCUCACUGUCCUCAUCACACGUGACCACAACCCACCCAACCAACUAUAAUCCUUUGUUCAUACAUUUCAUUGAAACCUCAUGCUUGACUGCACAUCUUGGUUGUGUGAUGUGAUGGGAACAUAUUUUCGGUAUUAGGUUUGUCAUAUGAUGAUGAUUUCUUUCCAACAAGUAGUCACACUAAUUAAAUUCAGAAAUUUGUUGGACAAGUCAACUUUAUAGAUUCAUUGUGUAUGAUUAAAGUUGGCAUUAGAUAAACAAAGAAUGUGAUCUGCCUCUCUAAAUUUGCUCUAAUUCUAAAGUGGCAGUGAAUCGAGACGGAGCUGAUGUGAAAUUAGCUUAUUUUUUAAGUGUGCAACGACUUCUAGCGCUUGAUUAAAAAUGGUCAUUUGCUAUUCAUCAUUUAUUUUCUAUUUUAAAUCUUAUUAUAUCUAAUCUGCCCACUGUUUCUUUUUUCAAGAUUCUAUAGUUAACACAAACUUGUUUGGGACUAAAGGCUUUGUUGUUGUUGUCUAUAGUUAACACAAAAUCCAAUCUCAGAGUUAGCAACAUAGUAUACACUACCAGUUUGGUCAUUACUGCAGGAUGCUGCUAACGCGACACUACGA